GAUGAACGCUAGCUACAGGCUUAACACAUGCAAGUCGAGGGGUAACAAGAGGAAAGCUUGCUUUUCUUGUUGACGACCGGCGCACGGGUGAGUAACGCGUAUCCAACCUGCCUAUAACUAGGGAAUAACCUUGCGAAAGUAAGACUAAUACCCUAUGAUUUCCUUUGAUGACAUCAGAUUAGGAAUAAAGAUUUAUCGGUUAUAGAUGGGGAUGCGUCUGAAUAGCUUGUUGGCGGGGUAACGGCCCACCAAGGCAACGAUCAGUAGGGGUUCUGAGAGGAAGGUCCCCCACAUUGGAACUGAGACACGGUCCAAACUCCUACGGGAGGCAGCAGUGAGGAAUAUUGGUCAAUGGGCGGAAGCCUGAACCAGCCAAGUAGCGUGCAGGAUGACGGCCCUAUGGGUUGUAAACUGCUUUUAUACAGGAAUAAAGUUAGCCACGUGUGGUUAUUUGUAGGUACUGUAUGAAUAAGGACCGGCUAAUUCCGUGCCAGCAGCCGCAGUAA
rnacentral:rRNA from 1 species